CCCCCUGCGGGUGGAAAAGUUUUGGAUUUAACCAUUUAGUGGAGGAGGCAGUAGUCACCCUGCUGUUUGCGUUCCACAGAAAAGACCGCUAAUUUGUGCCGCAGCGCGAUAUACGAGGGGCAAGCGUUAUCGAAUUACUGGCGUAAGCGCGGUAGGUGUUCGUAAGUAGAUGAAAACCCCGGCUCAACUGGAAUUCAUCAAAACGGCGACUAGAGAUGCAAAGGUGGGGAAUUCCUGGUAGCGGUGAAUGCGUAGAUAUUGAAGGAACCCCAGUGCGAAGGCGACCCCUGGCUAAUGUGACACUGAGGUGCGAAAGCGUGGGAGCAACAGGAUUAGAUACCCUGGUAGUCCACGCCGUAACGAUGUCGACUAGCCGUUGGAUCCUGAGAUCUUAGUGGGCAGCUAACGCAUUAAGUCGACCGCCUGGGGAGUACGGCCGCAAGGUUAAACUCAAAUGAAUUGACGGGGCCCGCACAAGCGGGGAGCAUGUGGUUAAUUCGAAGCAACGCGAAGAACCUUACCAGGCCUUGACAUGCAGAGAACUUUCCAGAGAUGGAUUGGUGCCUUCGGGAACUCUGACACAGGUGCUGCAUUGCUGUCGUCAGCUCGUGUCGUGAGAUGUUGGGUUAAGUCCCGUAACGAGCGCAACCCUUGUCCUUAGUUACCAGCACGUUAAGGUGGGCACUCUAAGGAGACUGCCGGUGACAAACCGGAGGAAGGUGGAGAUGACGUCAAGUCAUCAUGGCCCUUACGACCUGGGCAACACACGUGUUACAAUGGUCGGUACAAAGGGUUGCCAAGCCGCGAGGUGGAGCUAAUCCCAUAAAACCGAUCGUAGUCCGGAUCGCAGUCUGCAAGACUUCUGUCUGAAGUCGGAAUCGCUAGUUAUCUUUAAUCAGAAUGCCGCGCAGAAUACGUUUCCCAACCUCGACACAACGUCCGUCCCACCAUGGGAGUGGGUUGCUUCAGAAGUAGCUACUUGAGCUUCUCCGGGAUCCGAACAGCAGA
rnacentral:rRNA from 2 species